rnacentral:lncRNA from 1 species
GUCCGUAUUGUAGCUGUUCAAAAGCUCUUGCAGCCAAACUGGUUGGACAUGAGACACUGUUGUAGUGCUGCAAAGGUGCCCCACCCGGGACAGGGAAUCAGCCACAAUGUUCUCUUUGCCCUUGCGAUAGACUACUUUGAAUUGCAGACCCAUCAGACGAGUCAUGGCCUUUCUCUGCAUGUCUGAAUGAAGAUGUUGCUCAGUGAGGUAUGAGAGGCUUUGAUGGUCAGUUCGGAUGAUAAACUCCUGUCGUUGGAGAUAUGUGCGCCAUCUUUCCACCGCCAUGAUAAGCGCUAGGAAUUCCUUCUCAUAAAUUGAAAGUUUCUGAUGUUGGGGCCCAAGUGCUUUACUGAGAAAAGCCACUGGUUGGUCUCGCUGAAUUAGUACAGCGCCAAUGCCGGUAUCACUUGCAUCAGUUUCCACAAUAAAGGGUUGUGAAAAAUCUGGAAUAGC